AUUGAACGCUGGCGGCAGGCUUAACACAUGCAAGUCGAGCGGGGUGAUGGUGCUUGCACUAUCACUUAGCGGCGGACGGGUGAGUAAUGCUUAGGAAUCUGCCUAUUAGUGGGGGACAACAUCUCGAAAGGGAUGCUAAUACCGCAUACGUCCUACGGGAGAAAGCAGGGGAUCACUUGUGACCUUGCGCUAAUAGAUGAGCCUAAGUCGGAUUUGCUAGUUGGUGGGGUAAAGGCCUACCAAGGCGACGAUCUGUAGCGGGUCGGAGAGGAUGAUCCGCCACACUGGGACUGAGACACGGCCCAGACUCCUACGGUAGACAGCAGUGGGGAAUAUUGGACAAUGGGGAGAACCCUGAUCCAGCAAUGCCGCGUGUGUGAAGAAGGCCUUAUGGUUGUAAAGCACUUUAAGCGAGGAGGAGGCUCUUUUGGUUAAUACCCAAGAUGAGUGGACGUUACUCGCAGAAUAAGCACCGGCUAACUCUGUGCCAGCCGCCGCGGUAA
rnacentral:rRNA from 1 species